rnacentral:lncRNA from 1 species
UCAAUUUUGUGCAUUUGGUUGUAAAGAUUCCUCAAUUUUGCAUUUGGAAUAUUUGGGUGUGAUUCUUUGGUUGAUUCAAAGAUGGGUUCUCUUGUUGUGUUAUUGAGAUUGAAGUAGAGAGAAAUAGAGAGGGAAUAUGGGUCAUGUUGAAGAGAAGCUUAAGCCAGCUCGGCCGAUCAAUGGGACAAAUACUCUGCUUGAGGAGAUGAAAAUAUUGAAAGAAAUGCAGGAUAUUUCUG